UACAGAGGGUGCGAACGUUGUUCGGAAUCACUGGGCAUAAAGCGCACGUAGGCGGCACCGCAAGUGUGGAGUGAAAUCCCACGGCUUACCCGUGGAACUGCUUGGCAGACUGCGGUGCUAGAGGUUGGUAGGGGGGAGCGGAACUCUUGGUGGAGCGGUGAAAUGCGUAGAUAUCAAGAGGAACACCGGUGGCGAAGGCGGCUCUCUGGUCCAAUCCUGACGCUGAGGUGCGAAAGCUAGGGGAGCAAACGGG
rnacentral:rRNA from 1 species